rnacentral:rRNA from 1 species
GAUGAACGCUGGCGGCGUGCUUAACACAUGCAAGUCGAACGGUGAAGGCGGAGCUUGCUCUGCUGGAUCAGUGGCGAACGGGUGAGUAACACGUGAGCAAUCUGCCCCUGACUCUGGGAUAAGCGCUGGAAACGGCGUCUAAUACUGGAUACGAGCUGCGACGGCAUCUUCAGCAGCUGGAAAGAACUUCGGUCAGGGAUGAGCUCGCGGCCUAUCAGCUUGUUGGUGAGGUAACGGCUCAUCAAGGCGUCGACGGGUAGCCGGCCUGAGAGGGUGACCGGCCACACUGGGACUGAGACACGGCCCAGACUCCUACGGGAGGCAGCAGUGGGGAAUAUUGCACAAUGGGCGAAAGCCUGAUGCAGCAACGCCGCGUGAGGGACGACGGCCUUCGGGUUGUAAACCUCUUUUAGCAGGGAAGAAGCGAAAGUGACGGUACCUGCAGAAAAAGCGCCGGCUAACUACGUG